GCCUGCCCAGUGACUACGGGUUCAACGGCCGCGGUAUAUUGACCGUGCAAAGGUAGCGCAAUCACUUGUCUUUUAAAUAGAGACCUGUAUGAAUGGCUAGACGAGGGCUUAACUGUCUCCCCCCUCCAGUCAGUGAAAUUGAUCUAUCCGUGCAGAAGCGGGUAUAGUACUACAAGACGAGAAGACCCUUUGGAGCUUAAGGUACAGAAUUCAGCCACGUUAAGCAACUCCAUAAACAGCAAGAACUUAGUGGUCAUGAAAUUUUACCUUCGGUUGGGGCGACCGCGGAGGAAAAGCAAGCCUCCGAGUGGACUGGGCCGAGACCCUAAAGCCAAGAGAAACAUCUUCAAGCCGCAGAACAUCUGACCAAUAAUGAUCCGGCUAGAAAGCCGAUCAACGGACCAAGUUACCCUAGGGAUAACAGCGCAAUCCUCUCCCAGAGCCCAUAUCGACGAGGGGGUUUACGACCUCGAU
rnacentral:rRNA from 1 species